GCCUUUAGAAAUGAAGAUUAAUAUCCCAUAGUAUUGCGAAGUGGCAUCACUUUGUAAUUAAAGAUUUAUCGGUAAAAGAUGACUAUGCGUCCUAUUAGUUAGUUGGUAAGGUAACGGCUUACCAAGACAUCGAUAGGUAGGGGUCCUGAGAGGGAGAUCCCCCACACUGGUACUGAGACACGGACCAGACUCCUACGGGAGGCAGCAGUGAGGAAUAUUGGGCAAUGGAGGUAACUCUGACCCAGCCAUGCCGCGUGCAGGAAGACUGCCCUAUGGGUUGUAAACUGCUUUUAUACAGGAAGAAACACUGCUACGUGUAGCAGCUUGACGGUACUGUAAGAAUAAGGACCGGCUAACUCCGUGCCAGCAGCCGCGGGUAAUACGGAGGGUCCGAGCGUUAUCCGGAAUCAUUGGGUUUAAAGGGGUCCGCAGGCGGGUCAAUUAAGUCAGAGGUGAAAUCCCAUAGCUUAACUAUGGAACUGCCUUUGAUACUGGUUGACUUGAGUCAUAUGGAAGUAGAUAGAAUGUGUAGUGUACCGG
rnacentral:rRNA from 1 species